AGAGAGAGACAUGCGCGCAUAUCAAUAAGCGGAGGAAAAGAAACUAACAAGGAUUCCCUUAGUAACGGCGAGUGAAGCGGGAAGAGCUCAAAUUUGAAAUCUUCAAGGUUUUACCUUGACGAGUUGUAGUUUAAAGAAGUGCUUUCUGCUGAAGUUUUGGUAAAAGUUCCUUGGAAUAGGACAUCAUAGAGGGUGAGAAUCCCGUAUUUGACCAUUAUUUUCAGCUUUGUGAUACACUUUCAAAGAGUCGGGAUUGUUUGGGAAUGCAGUCCAAAAUGGGUGGUAAAUUUCAUCUAAAGCUAAAUAUUGGCGAGAGACCGAUAGCGAACAAGUACCGUGAGGGAAAGAUGAAAAGAACUUUGAAAAGAGAGUUAAACAGUACGUGAAAUUGUCAAAAGGGAAGCGUUUGACACCAGUGUUGUUUUCUCGAAAAUCAAUUAAAAAUGGCUCGAUUUUGUAUUGUUGAGACCUUAAAAGCUCACUGUACAUUUUUCGUGUCUUUUUUAAUGCACUUUUCGUUUAACAAGUCAACAUCAGUUUCUUUUGUUGUAAAAGGGUCAUUGGAAGGUGGCUUUCUUUUCGGAGAAAGUGUUUAUAGCCUUUGGCCUCUGCAAUCGGAGAGAUUGAGGUCUGCAGCGUAGAUCCUUCGGGGUUAGAUACAUUUGUGCUAAGUUAUAGCCUUUUCAUAGACAACUUGUUGACUAUAAUCAGUCAUGUAGCUUACUCGCUUAUGCUAUUUUACCUACGCUUAGGAUGUUGAAGAUGUAGCACAUCAU
rnacentral:rRNA from 1 species